rnacentral:rRNA from 1 species
ACGCUCGACACCUACGGGAGGAGCAGUGAGGAAUAUUGGUCAAUGGACGCAAGUCUGAACCAGCCAUGCCGCGUGCAGGAUGACGGCUCUAUGAGUUGUAAACUGCUUUUGUACGAGGGUAAACGCAGAUACGUGUAUCUGUCUGAAAGUAUCGUACGAAUAAGGAUCGGCUAACUCCGUGCCAGCAGCCGCGGUAAUCUGAGCGGGCUGGCAAGGC